UGAAGAGGGAAACAACCCAGACCGCCAGCUAAGGUCCCAAAGUCAUGGUUAAGUGGGAAACGAUGUGGGAAGGCCCAGACAGCCAGGAUGUUGGCUUAGAAGCAGCCAUCAUUUAAAGAAAGCGUAAUAGCUCACUGGUCGAGUCGGCCUGCGCGGAAGAUGUAACGGGGCUAAACCAUGCACCGAAGCUGCGGCAGCGACGCUGAUGCGUUGUUGGGUAGGGGAGCGUUCUGUAAGCCUGUGAAGGUGGCCUGUGAGGGUUGCUGGAGGUAUCAGAAGUGCGAAUGCUGACAUAAGUAACGAUAAAGCGGGUGAAAAGCCCGCUCGCCGGAAGACCAAGGGUUCCUGUCCAACGUUAAUCGGGGCAGGGUGAGUCGACCCCUAAGGCGAGGCCGAAAGGCGUAGUCGAUGGGAAACGGGUUAAUAUUCCCGUACUUGGUGUUACUGCGAAGGGGGGACGGAGAAGGCUAUGUUGGCCGGGCGACGGUUGUCCCGGUUUAAGCGUGUAGGCGGGUGUUCCAGGUAAAUCCGGAACGCUGUUAAC
rnacentral:rRNA from 1 species